UCCUACGGGAGGCAGCAGUGGGGAAUCUUGCACAAUGGGGGAAACCCUGAUGCAGCGACGCCGCGUGAGCGAUGAAGCCCUUCGGGGUGUAAAGCUCUUUCGGCAGGGAAGAUUAUGACGGUACCUGCAGAAGCAGCUGCGGCUAACUACGUGCCAGCAGCCGCGGUAAUACGUAGGCAGCAAGCGUUGUUCGGAGUUACUGGGCGUAAAGGGUGUGUAGGCGGCCUGUUAAGUUCCGUGUGAAAUCUCCCGGCUCAACCGGGAGGGUGCGCGGAAAACUGGCGGGCUAGAGUGCGGGAUGGGAGAGUAGAAUUCCUGGUGUAGCGGUGAAAUGCGUAGAUAUCAGGAGGAAUACCGGUGGUGUAGACGGCUCUCUGGACCGCAACUGACGCUGAAACACGAAAGCGUGGGUAGCAAACAGGAUUAGAUACCCUGGUAGUCCACGCCCUAAACGAUGCAUAUUUGGUGUAGGUCAUUCAGUUGAUCUGUGCCGGAGCUAACGCGUUAAAUAUGCCGCCUGGGGAGUACAGUCGCAAGGCUGAAACUCAAAGGAAUUGACGGGGGCCCGCACAAGCGGUGGAGCAUGUGGUUCAAUUCGACGCAACGCGAAGAACCUUACCUGGGCUCGAACGGCUGGUCAACGAUCGUGGAAACACGGUUACUCCGCAAGGGGGUCCAGUCGAGGUGCUGCAUGGCUGUCGUCAGCUCGUGUCGUGAGAUGUUGGGUUAAGUCCCGCAACGAGCGCAACCCUCGUCCUGUGUUGCCAUCAUUCAGUUGGGAACUCGCAGGAGACCGCCAGCGAUAAGCUGGAGGAAGGUGGGGAUGACGUCAAGUCCUCAUGGCCUUUAUGUCCAGGGCUACACACGUGCUACAAUGGCCGGUACAAUGCGCUGCUA
rnacentral:rRNA from 1 species